rnacentral:tRNA from 1 species
GGGCUUUUAGCACAACGGUCAGUGCAGCGGACUCAUAAUCCGCCGGUUUCGGGUUCGAAUCCCCGAAGGCCCACCA